UUAGAAUAAGUAACGAUAAGGAGGGUUAGAUUCCCUCCCGCUGUAAGACCAAGGUUUCCCGGGCAAUGCCAAUCAGCCCGGGGUCAGUCGGGUCCUAAGUCUAAGCCGAACGGCGAUGGCGAUGGCAGAGACGGUUAAUAUUCCGUCACUGCCGCAUGGGGCGACGUGGAGACGGAGCAGUGAAACCACCGCGGGGCGACGGAAGUCCCCGUUGAAGAGUGUAGGCGUUGAGGAUGGCAGGCAAAUCCACCGUCCGAGCUGAACUUGAGAGUAUGGAGUCUUCUUCGGAAGAAUCCAAUAGUGUGGGUAAUCAUACUCCCGAGAAAAUCCGCUAAGCUUAACCCAUGCGGCACCCGUACCGCAAACGGACACACGUGGUCGGGUAGAACAUACUGAGGCGUUGAGAGAUUCAUGGUUAAGGAACUAGGCAAAUUGACCCUGUAACUUCGGGAUAAAGGGUCCUCGUGAAUAGCGAGGCGCAGAGAAUAGGUCCAGGCAACUGUUUAACAAAAACACAGGGCUGUGCAAACUCGAAAGAUGACGUAUACAGCCUGACACCUGCCCGGUGCCGGAAGGUUAAGAGGAGAUGUCACUCGCAAGAGGAAGCAUUGAAUUGAAGCCCCGGUAAACGGCGGCCGUAACAAUAACGGUCCUAAGGUAGCGAAAUUCCUUGUCAGGUAAGUUCCGACCUGCACGAAUGGUGUAAUGAUCCGGACGCUGUCUCAACCAUGAGCUCAGUGAAAUUGUAGUAUCGGUGAAGAUGCCGAUUACCCGCGAUGGGACGAAAAGACCCCGUGAACCUUUACUACAGCUUAGCAUUGACCUUGGUCAUCCGAUGUGUAGGAUAGGCCGGAGGCUUCGAAGCGGGAGCGCCAGCUUUCGUGAGCCAUCCUUGAAAUACGGCCCUUUGGCUGUCUGAGGUCUAACGCGCGAUGCGCGGACACUGCUUGGUGGGUAGUUUGACUGGGGUGGUCGCCUCCAAAAGCGUAACGGAGGCUUCCAAAGGUGCCCUCGGGUCGAUUGGUAACCGACCUCAAAGAGUGCAAUGGCAUAAGGGCGCUUGACUGGGAGGCAGACAUGCCGAGCAGGCAGGAAACUGGGGCAUAGUGAUCCGGCGGAUGUGUAUGGAAACUCCGUCGCUCAAAGGAUAAAAGGUACUCCGGGGAUAACAGGCUGAUCCCCCCCAAGAGCUCAUAUCGGCGGGGUGGUUUGGCACCUCGAUGUCGGCUCGUCACAUCCUGGGGCUGGAGAAGGUCCCAAGGGUUGGGCUGUUCGCCCAUUAAAGUGGCACGCGAGCUGGGUUCAGAACGUCGUGAGACAGUUCGGUCUCUAUCUGUCGUGGGCGUGGGAGUUUUGCGUGGUGCCGUCACUAGUACGAGAGGACCGUGAUGGACAGACCUCCGGUUUACCAGUUGUGCCGCCAGGCGCACCGCUGGGUAUCUGAGUCUGGAUUGGAUAAGCGCUGAAAGCAUCUAAGUGCGAAGCCAGCCGCAAGAUGAGAACUCCAUUGAGGGUCGUCAGAGACGAUGACGUCGAUAGGAUGCAGGUGUAAAGACAGCGAUGUCAAAGCCGAGCAUUACUAAUUGCCC
rnacentral:rRNA from 1 species